GGUAAUAAUACUACUGAUGCCUAGGAAUAUAUUUCGAGUAGGAUGUGUUUGCAAUAGCUGUACAUUUGGCAAGCUUCCAAGAAAUUAUAGGGGCACCUGAUAUACCUAAUUAUGUAGGCCAUAGUGUCUAAAGCUGUACAGUUGGGAGGCCUUGAAGAAAUUGAUAGGUUUCCUCUAUAGUAUACCCAAUAUAUUUCAAAUAGACUCACUGUAACAAUGAUAGUAUGAUACAAUGAUAACUCUAUUUUUGGCUUGCUUGCAGAAAAUUCAAGAACAGCCAAGCAGAUAGUGUGUUCAUGAAAGAACAGGAUAAGUCCCUACAAAGGAAAUGGAAUGAUGUUCAAAGAAUAUGGACCCUCUACAUUCUCUGGAUUAGUCAUUCUCCUCCUGAACAAUAAUAUUAAACAAGAUACAUGCACAAUUCAUUGCUAACUCAGAAUGGCAUAGCCAAAUUUAACAUACAAAAGACAUGCAAGCCUCAAUGCUCAUGCCAUAUUUUCAGAAUAUAACAAGAAAUUUAAUUCACAAAAAUAUAAAUAAAUAAAUAACUCUUAUGAAAUUGCAUAAUGCAGAUUUUAAUUGUGUCCCAUAGAGCAAUUAUAAACUACAUUAUAAAGUUUAUAAUAUUAAUACAUGUUAGAUAACAAAGCAGAAUUGGAAAAAUUAUGCAGCUUAAGGCUGAAAAGUUACUGAGCAGGCUUUUAAGGCAAACUGUAAGAAACCAUAGAUGAUAAUCCACAGCUUUCACUAUGUUAGUGGAACAAUCCCGUAAGUAUGCUCAAGUCAAUUGACAACUGACAGGAAAAGAAACAGAUAACUAUGCAGUCAAAAGGUUUGUAAAAAAGAAACUGAUACUUUGUGAGGUCAGAAUGAUUCACUUCUACUGCCUAAGGAAUGUGAAGAAAAAAAAGAAAUUGCAUUAGCAUUCAUAACAAUAACUGAACCAAAGCACUUAAAUGUAAUAACACCAGCUACAGGUUAAAGACAGAUUUUGCGGUCAUUCCUAAAUUAAAGAAAAAUAGUAUACACAUAUAAAUUUCUUUCAAUUACCCACAAGUGAAGAUUUAUCCACGUAAAACUGUAUCAACUUGUCAUUACACAAGCUGAAGCCUGCUAAACUUCAGUUAGAUUAUGCUAGAAUCUUGAAUGAUUCACUGUUAAUGCUUAAAUUAAUUGAAAAUUGGAAUGCACUUGCUAAGGCACCUAGAAAAUUUUUAUUGGCCUUGUACCUUGAGCACUGGCAUGGAUUAAGUGGAAGCUUGGAAAUGUUAUGCAAUUUAUAGCCAAGAUAUGACACAGGAAAUGAAGUCUCAACAGGAAUUCACAGUUGCACAUGGAUAUGGUAACAUACCUGUUUCACCAUUACACUCUCUA
rnacentral:misc_RNA from 1 species